rnacentral:rRNA from 1 species
UAUCCUGUCUGAAUAUGGGGGGACCAUCCUCCAAGGCUAAAUACUCCUGACUGACCGAUAGUGAACCAGUACCGUGAGGGAAAGGCGAAAAGAACCCCGGCGAGGGGAGUGAAAAAGAACCUGAAACCGUGUACGUACAAGCAGUGGGAGCACGCUUAGGCGUGUGACUGCGUACCUUUUGUAUAAUGGGUCAGCGACUUAUAUUCUGUAGCAAGGUUAACCGAAUAGGGGAGCCGAAGGGAAACCGAGUCUUAACUGGGCGUUAAGUUGCAGGGUAUAGACCCGAAACCCGGUGAUCUAGCCAUGGGCAGGUUGAAGGUUGGGUAACACUAACUGGAGGACCGAACCGACUAAUGUUGAAAAAUUAGCGGAUGACUUGUGGCUGGGGGUGAAAGGCCAAUCAAACCGGGAGAUAGCUGGUUCUCCCCGAAAGCUAUUUAGGUAGCGCCUCGUGAAUUCAUCUCCGGGGGUAGAGCACUGUUUCGGCAAGGGGGUCAUCCCGACUUACCAACCCGAUGCAAACUGCGAAUACCGGAGAAUGUUAUCACGGGAGACACACGGCGGGUGCUAACGUCCGUCGUGAAGAGGGAAACAACCCAGACCGCCAGCUAAGGUCCCAAAGUCAUGGUUAAGUGGGAAACGAUGUGGGAAGGCCCAGACAGCCAGGAUGUUGGCUUAGAAGCAGCCAUCAUUUAAAGAAAGCGUAAUAGCUCACUGGUCGAGUCGGCCUGCGCGGAAGAUGUAACGGGGCUAAACCAUGCACCGAAGCUGCGGCAGCGACGCUGAUGCGUUGUUGGGUAGGGGAGCGUUCUGUAAGCCUGUGAAGGUGUGCUGUGAGGCAUGCUGGAGGUAUCAGAAGUGCGAAUGCUGACAUAAGUAACGAUAAAGCGGGUGAAAAGCCCGCUCGCCGGAAGACCAAGGGUUCCUGUCCAACGUUAAUCGGGGCAGGGUGAGUCGACCCCUAAGGCGAGGCCGAAAGGCGUAGUCGAUGGGAAACAGGUUAAUAUUCCUGUACUUGGUGUUACUGCGAAGGGGGGACGGAGAAGGCUAUGUUGGCCGGGCGACGGUUGUCCCGGUUUAAGCGUGUAGGCUGGUUUUCCAGGCAAAUCCGGAAAAUCAAGGCUGAGGCGUGAUGACGAGGCACUACGGUGCUGAAGCAACAAAUGCCCUGCUUCCAGGAAAAGCCUCUAAGCAUCAGGUAACAUCAAAUCGUACCCCAAACCGACACAGGUGGUCAGGUAGAGAAUACCAAGGCGCUUGAGAGAACUCGGGUGAAGGAACUAGGCAAAAUGGUGCCGUAACUUCGGGAGAAGGCACGCUGAUAUGUAGGUGAAGUCCCUCGCGGAUGGAGCUGAAAUCAGUCGAAGAUACCAGCUGGCUGCAACUGUUUAUUAAAAACACAGCACUGUGCAAACACGAAAGUGGACGUAUACGGUGUGACGCCUGCCCGGUGCCGGAAGGUUAAUUGAUGGGGUCAGCGCAAGCGAAGCUCUUGAUCGAAGCCCCGGUAAACGGCGGCCGUAACUAUAACGGUCCUAAGGUAGCGAAAUUCCUUGUCGGGUAAGUUCCGACCUGCACGAAUGGCGUAAUGAUGGCCAGGCUGUCUCCACCCGAGACUCAGUGAAAUUGAACUCGCUGUGAAGAUGCAGUGUACCCGCGGCAAGACGGAAAGACCCCGUGAACCUUUACUAUAGCUUGACACUGAACAUUGAGCCUUGAUGUGUAGGAUAGGUGGGAGGCUUUGAAGUGUGGACGCCAGUCUGCAUGGAGCCGGCCUUGAAAUACCACCCUUUAAUGUUUGAUGUUCUAACGUUGACCCGU